UACGUAGGGUGCGAGCGUUAAUCGGAAUUACUGGGCGUAAAGCGUGCGCAGGCGGUGUGUUAAGUCUGAUGUGAAAGCCCCGGGCUCAACCUGGGAAUGGCAUUGGAAACUGGCUCGCUGGAGUAUGGCAGAGGGAGGUGGAAUUCCGCAUGUAGCGGUGAAAUGCGAAGAGAUGCGGAGGAACACCGAUGGCGAAGGCAGCCCCCUGGGCCAAUACUGACGCUCAGGCACGAAAGCGUGGGGAGCAAACAGG
rnacentral:rRNA from 1 species